CUACCAAAAGUUUUUCUUGGGGGAAGGUUUUUAAAAUAACCUUUACCAACUUGGGCUAUUUGGGAGAAUAAAAGAAGACCACACUCCACAGUGGGCUAUAUCACUAAGCAUAUAGUUCACUACUAUUUUGUGGCCUACAUU